AUUAACCCUUCCCAUCAUUUGCCUCCCACCUUGCACUGACAUCUAAGUGAUGAUUUCACUUUUCAGGUUCAAGGUCUUCCUCCUAUGUUAAGUCAUGGGAACAAAAGCCAUUUAAAGUCCUAAAAUCACUGGCGAUGUUGACCAAUGAGACAUCUUCCUGGUGAGGUGAACACUUGGCUGAAAGAGCACAUCUGUGUAUAUGAUUCCAGAGACUAGAAAGGCCUCUGCCACAGGGAAUGUAAUUUCAGUGGUAUCCAGCUUAAGAAACCCUGGCCUACAGUCUCAGAGAGAUACAAAGCUGGUGGUAUCAAGGGCCUGACCAGGCACCACUAUCUGACUGAUAUGCACCAUCAGAUGAAGGAUGAAGUUAAGUGACACAGCUAGAGUGAUGCUCCUGGUAAACAGUGGAACUGGGAUUUGAAUUUACAUCUGCCUGAUUCCAGAGCCAGCAUUUUAACACAUUGCUGCUUCCCAGAAAUCUCACUCCUGGGAAUUUUCCUGAAGGCAAUGGUUUCUAAAAAGGUUAUAUGCACAUCUAUAUUUACUGUUUGCUUAUAACAUUAAGAAAAAUGAAAACACCCUAAAGUCUGCAAAGUAAAAGAAGCAGUUGAGCAAAAUAUAAUCUCCCAUCUUGAAGAAAUGGCUUAUGCUUAUUAAAAUGAAAAUUAUGAAAAAUAUGUAACAUUAGAGAUCUAUAUUCUAAUGUUAACCUUGAAAACCAAAAUAUAUUUUGUAGGUCAACUAAAAGUAAAACUGUGCACAUGGAUAUGCAGAUUUAUGUAUGUGUUUGCAUACAUAUAUGCAAAUAGACAAGGGCAGAAAAGCAGUUUAUAAAAUGAAAUCAAUUUCAGAGAGUUGUGGGAUUAGAAGCAAUGUAUUUUAGUCUUUAAAUUUUCCAUUAGAGUUGUUAUAAUAAAAACAGUGAUUAAACUGACACACACAUAGGUUUGAUGUCACUCCUAAUCCAAUCAAAGGACUUACACAGCCACCCACUGCCUCGUCCACACCAGGCUUCCAGCGACCUGUGUGUCACUGAGAUCUUUCUCCUCAAUCCUGUUAGCAAUGGACUUCAGGGUGCAUCUUUGCCAUUACAAACCCCAAAUGCAGGCUGAAGAGGCUCACACUAGGCCUUAGGGAAGAAAGAGAAAAAGCCCUCAAUCCCCAAAGGUCUCGCAUUUGGCAGCCAGGACAGAUUUUUCCAUUAAUAAGGUCUUUCAAGUCAAAGCUGGAGCCAAUUCUUAUCUCUCAUGGUAAACCUAGUUAGAGGACAAGGAAGAGAUAUGAAAGUACGGGCAUUCGCCUCCUCCCUCCUG